AACCGAGUCUUAACUGGGCGUUAAGUUGCAGGGUAUAGACCCGAAACCCGGUGAUCUAGCCAUGGGCAGGUUGAAGGUUGGGUAACACUAACUGGAGGACCGAACCGACUAAUGUUGAAAAAUUAGCGGAUGACUUGUGGCUGGGGGUGAAAGGCCAAUCAAACCGGGAGAUAGCUGGUUCUCCCCGAAAGCUAUUUAGGUAGCGCCUCGUGAAUUCAUCUCCGGGGGUAGAGCACUGUUUCGGCAAGGGGGUCAUCCCGACUUACCAACCCGAUGCAAACUGCGAAUACCGGAGAAUGUUAUCACGGGAGACACACGGCGGGUGCUAACGUCCGUCGUGAAGAGGGAAACAACCCAGACCGCCAGCUAAGGUCCCAAAGUCAUGGUUAAGUGGGAAACGAUGUGGGAAGGCCCAGACAGCCAGGAUGUUGGCUUAGAAGCAGCCAUCAUUUAAAGAAAGCGUAAUAGCUCACUGGUCGAGUCGGCCUGCGCGGAAGAUGUAACGGGGCUAAACCAUGCACCGAAGCUGCGGCAGCGACGCUGAUGCGUUGUUGGGUAGGGGAGCGUUCUGUAAGCCUGUGAAGGUGUGCUGUGAGGCAUGCUGGAGGUAUCAGAAGUGCGAAUGCUGACAUAAGUAACGAUAAAGCGGGUGAAAAGCCCGCUCGCCGGAAGACCAAGGGUUCCUGUCCAACGUUAAUCGGGGCAGGGUGAGUCGACCCCUAAGGCGAGGCCGAAAGGCGUAGUCGAUGGGAAACAGGUUAAUAUUCCUGUACUUGGUGUUACUGCGAAGGGGGGACGGAGAAGGCUAUGUUGGCCGGGCGACGGUUGUCCCGGUUUAAGCGUGUAGGCUGGUUUUCCAGGCAAAUCCGGAAAACUAAGGCUGAGGCGUGAUGACGAGGCACUACGGUGCUGAAGCAACAAAUGCCCUGCUUCCAGGAAAAGCCUCUAAGCAUCAGGUAACAUCAAAUCGUACCCCAAACCGACACAGGUGGUCAGGUAGAGAAUACCAAGGCGCUUGAGAGAACUCGGGUGAAGGAACUAGGCAAAAUGGUGCCGUAACUUCGGGAGAAGGCACGCUGAUAUGUAGGUGAAGUCCCUCGCGGAUGGAGCUGAAAUCAGUCGAAGAUACCAGCUGGCUGCAACUGUUUAUUAAAAACACAGCACUGUGCAAACACGAAAGUGGACGUAUACGGUGUGACGCCUGCCCGGUGCCGGAAGGUUAAUUGAUGGGGUCAGCGCAAGCGAAGCUCUUGAUCGAAGCCCCGGUAAACGGCGGCCGUAACUAUAACGGUCCUAAGGUAGCGAAAUUCCUUGUCGGGUAAGUUCCGACCUGCACGAAUGGCGUAAUGAUGGCCAGGCUGUCUCCACCCGAGACUCAGUGAAAUUGAACUCGCUGUGAAGAUGCAGUGUACCCGCGGCAAGACGGAAAGACCCCGUGAACCUUUACUAUAGCUUGACACUGAACAUUGAGCCUUGAUGUGUAGGAUAGGUGGGAGGCUUUGAAGUGUGGACGCCAGUCUGCAUGGAGCCGACCUUGAAAUACCACCCUUUAAUGUUUGAUGUUCUAACGUUGACCCGUAAUCCGGGUUGCGGACAGUGUCUGGUGGGUAGUUUGACUGGGGCGGUCUCCUCCUAAAGAGUAACGGAGGAGCACGAAGGUUGGCUAAUCCUGGUCGGACAUCAGGAGGUUAGUGCAAUGGCAUAAGCCAGCUUGACUGCGAGCGUGACGGCGCGAGCAGGUGCGAAAGCAGGUCAUAGUGAUCCGGUGGUUCUGAAUGGAAGGGCCAUCGCUCAACGGAUAAAAGGUACUCCGGGGAUAACAGGCUGAUACCGCCCAAGAGUUCAUAUCGACGGCGGUGUUUGGCACCUCGAUGUCGGCUCAUCACAUCCUGGGGCUGAAGUAGGUCCCAAGGGUAUGGCUGUUCGCCAUUUAAAGUGGUACGCGAGCUGGGUUUAGAACGUCGUGAGACAGUUCGGUCCCUAUCUGCCGUGGGCGCUGGAGAACUGAGGGGGGCUGCUCCUAGUACGAGAGGACCGGAGUGGACGCAUCACUGGUGUUCGGGUUGUCAUGCCAAUGGCACUGCCCGGUAGCUAAAUGCGGAAGAGAUAAGUGCUGAAAGCAUCUAAGCACGAAACUUGCCCCGAGAUGAGUUCUCCCUGACUCCUUGAGAGUCCUGAAGGAACGUUGAAG
rnacentral:rRNA from 1 species